rnacentral:ncRNA from 1 species
UUCAGGUGCGCGUACACGCUUAAAAGAGAAAUAGGUGCAAAACCUAUGCUGUCCCGCAGCUGUAAGGUGGAGCAGGCUUCAAAGAUGUCGCUGGGGAACCGGGAAGACAAAGCCUGCGAAGAAGCCGAGCCAGAAGAACUGCCUGAAG